GCCCGGGCUCCCCCCGCGCCCGCAGCCCCGGCCCUGGUGCAGGCGGAGCUCGCUGCCGAGCGGCCAUUUGCGAGCGCGGAGCCGCGGCCGCUCCGGUUGCCUCUCCCCAGGCUGGGGAGCCGGGCACUGCCUGCUCGGAGGUGCCGGCUCCGGGGCGCUCGAGGAGCACGCCCCAUUAAACUUUCCAACACGCCGGGUAGAAACAUGUGUGAUGUACACUUGUCAGCCUGGACAGACUGAAUCUCAAUCACACACUCAACUAUUUGGAGAAAGAAAAGUUUCAAAAUGACUCUUUACAAGUGUUGACUGAACCUCACGCAUCCAUUCAAUCAGAGAACAGAGAUGCUACCAUGUGACUCGCCCAGCCAAUCAUAACCAGCCAUCUCCUCACUCACCUCUUCUUGAACACAUCUCUUCUCCAUCUCCUGAGUUCCUCAAAGGCACAGAUGGCCCUCCUCAGUCUUCACCACAGGAGACUCCUUUCAGUGUCGUCUCGGCCUCUGAGACCAACCUGCAGCUCCCUUCUUUGCAGGCAAGGCCCAGCAGCACCAGCUUCUCUUGCUGCUUCUCCUGGACCAAGUCUCCUGGAAGGCAGCAGGACAGAAAUAUUUACAUUAAAUCAGGAAAAGGCAGAAGAAGAAGAAUACAGCUGUACAAGGUGGCUGGGAUAGCAUGGUGAGCAAAACCCAUGAAAGCAGAGCUGGCUGGCAAAUGAGUCGUGGUAAUGUGGCACUUUUGUUAAAAUGUUGACACGUUUCAAACUUCUCCACCUAGUGUCACAGCAGAGCAAGAAAGAAAGGUCCUGAUACUGUGAUGUGAUCCAUGUAGGCAGACCCCAGCAGAGAUCCACGGAAGUCAGCCAAAAUCCACAUGGAUAUGAGAGGUUUUCCAUUGCACAGAACUCACUGUAGGAUGGAAGCCAAAGUUAAUCCUGUUUGCCUGCUGCAUGUAUAACUUUGUAUCACUCAGCAGGGAAAUAAAACCCUUAAAGCACUGAGUUGGUUGGAAUUUCUCCUUUGUGUUUUAAAUGAAAUGUGGCCUUUUGGAUGAGAUUUGACACAUUCACAGAAAAGAUAAAAUAUUUGGCUAAUUGACUUUUUUUCUCUCAGUGU